ACUCUGACAGCUCAGUUGGUAGAGCGGAGGACUGUAGCAGGUACAGUGGCAAUCCUUCGGUCACUGGUUCGACUCUGGAUUCCUGCG